CAGCCACCGUGCGCAACGGGGCUGCAGCGCCGGGCGCAAGUGUUGCCGCCUGGCAGGCAGACUACACGCCACACAUCUGCUGAUGCUACGCUUGGUAGGCGUGUGCUGCGCUAGAGGAGUGCACUGUGGCUGAAAGUGUCGCCAGAUUUCUCGAUAGCUGUUACAACCGCUAAUUGCUGUGGUCGUUCGGAAGAGUUGUGCUUCAGCUUACGAGGUGGUCUGGAGGAUACUACAGCAGUUAUGCACCAGGAUGUGGAAUGCUGACAACAACAUAAGGAUCGUCCCACAGCAGACGCCACUUCGCGUAAAACAAUUGAAGAGCAGACAACGUAUAUUGGUGAAAUAUCGAUAAAAGGGAAUCCACAGAGAGCCAAGGAGGUCAGCACUGGUGGAGCAGCUAUUCACGCAAGUACACUUAUAUUGUAUUAGAGAGAGUAUUAGAGGAUGUACCACAGUUGCAGUGUUAUUCAGCUUUUAGAGCUACUAUAAAGUUUUAUUUCCGUAAACUGUAAAUUUGGCGUCCCGUAACGCAAUCAUUACUAAACUGCUACAAGAUUGUUUUUGUAAAUGCUUACCGACUGUGACAUCAGAAACAUUGUUGCUUGAUACAAAACUUAAGAGAUGAGCAACAUUAAUGUUAAUUUUUCGAUGGAGCAUAUUAGCUCUUUUUUAAUUUUUGAGAGUUUUUGGUUAUGGUAAAGACCCAGUGACAAAUGACGAAUAUACAGCUACA